rnacentral:rRNA from 1 species
UACAGAGGUCUCAAGCGUUGUUCGGAUUCAUUGGGCGUAAAGCGCGCGUAGGUGGCCCCAUAAGUCCGCUGUGAAAGUCAAAGGCUCAACCUUUGAAAGCCGGUGGAUACUGUGGGACUAGAGUACGGAAGAGGCGAGUGGAAUUCCUGGUGUAGCGGUGGAAUGCGCAGAUAUCAGGAGGAACACCAAUAGCGAAGGCAGCUCGCUGGGACGUUACUGACACUGAGGCGCGAAAGCGUGGGGAGCGAACAGG